rnacentral:rRNA from 1 species
UACGUAGGCGGAAGAUUAAGUCAGUGGUGAAAUCCUGCAGCUUAACUGUAGAACUGUCAUUGAUACUGGUUUUCUUGAAUUUAGUUGAGGUAGGCGGAAUGUGUAAUGUAGCGGUGAAAUGCUUAGAUAUUACACAGAACACCGAUUGCGAAGGCAGCUUACUAAACUAUGAUUGAAGCUGAGGUACGAAAGCGUGGGGAGCGAACAGGAUUAGAUACCCUGGUAGUCC